GUCUUGCUGAGGAGUCCCAUAAUAGGACGAAACGGCCGUCCAGUGU
rnacentral:hammerhead_ribozyme from 1 species